UUUAAAGCCAUGUGAUCAACUUUCCAAUUAGUGGCGGUAAAAUGGUUAAAAGAAAAUAAUUAUCCACCCAUAUUAUGUGGAAAAGCAUGUGCUUGCACAAUGAAAUAUAUGCCCGUGACUAUUUCUGAAACUUGCGAAUUUACAAGUUGGCUUUUGACCAUUUGCUGAGUAUAAAAGUUGUAGAUUGGAAGCGUAUUGGCGAGGUUGUUGUCAUAGUCUCUCUCAUGUUCAAAAGUGUGAAGUUUUAUAAUGAAGUAUUUUGCUAUGACCAGUUCGGAGACUUGCUUUAUGGUGUGACAGUCUCUGGUCAAGGCUUUGCAUGGGACGUUUUGUUCUACAUACAUUUGUUGUGGUGCAUCUACCUUACCAAUAUAUUCUGGAGUCUUGUUUUGAUGUUGCUUGCACUUGGCUAGUAUUGUCCGAGGUCUGUGUCAGUGGGGUUUUGGCCUUGAAGUUGUGCAUUGGUUGUAUUGCAUCUACAUUGCCAGUAUAAUCUGGAGCCAUUCUUGGGCGUUAUCAGCUGCAGUUUUCUAUAUUCUCCUACUGUUUUUUCAGUUUAGGGCUCUUUUUUAAGGAUUAAAACUCCUCUUGGCUUGCAUUGUAUUUAGCACUAUUUCUUCAUCCAUCUGCUAGAGGUGCACCUAAUUUUAUUUUUCAUAGCAUGCUCUGUGACUGAUAUUUGGGACAUUGUCUCCUCGUUGUGCUGUUUUCUGAUUGGGAUUAUGUUUGAUGUAAUGAAUUUUAUGGCCAUGCCAAUUUUUCAUCGUUC